AUUGAACGCUAGCGGGAUGCUUUACACAUGCAAGUCGCACGCGUGGCGGACGGGUGAGUAAUCUAUAGGAAUGUGCCCAGUAGCGGGGGAUAACUAAUGGAAACAGUGGCUAAUACCGCAUACCAUUAGAUCGGCCCAUAUGGGCUUAGCUGGUUGGUGGGGUAAAGGCGCGCCAAGGAAACGAUCCCUAGCUGGGCUGAGAGGGCGACCAGCGACACUGGGACUGAGACAGGGCCCAGUUUCCUACUGGAGGAAGCAGUGGGGAAUAUUGGACAAUGGUUGCAAGCCUGAUGCAGCCAUGCCGGGUGUAUGAUGAAGGCCUUCGGGUUGUAAAGUACUUUCAGCGGAGAAGCGUUAGCGACAGAAGAGGAGCCGGCUAACUCCGUGCCAGCGGCCGCGGUAAUAC
rnacentral:rRNA from 1 species